rnacentral:rRNA from 1 species
UACGAAGGGGGCUAGCGUUGUUCGGAAUUACUGGGCGUAAAGCGCGCGCAGGCGGUCUUCCAAGUCAGUGGUGAAAGCCCGGAGCUCAACUCCGGAACUGCCAUUGAAACUGUUAGACUUAAGGAUGAGAGAGGUGAGUGGAAUUCCCAGUGUAGAGGUGAAAUUCGUAGAUAUUGGGAAGAACACCGGUGGCGAAGGCGGCUCACUGGCUCAUUACUGACGCUCAGGCGCGAUAGCGUGGGGAUCAAACAGG